UAUGUUUAUCAGACAUCUUGUCAACAGUUUGACAGCCAUUGUUUUCUUGGAAACGUGAAAACGAUUUCUCUACCAAGUGUCGUUAGCUCAAUUGGUAAAGACCUUAAGCGAAAGCUUCGCUUAGGGUCGCCGGUUCGAGUGACGCUUGAGACGAAACUAAUAUUACAUGAUGUGGUUUCGGGUCUGGGUGGAUUACGGGUUUCGUUCAGAACCUCCUGGAUUUCAACAAA
rnacentral:sRNA from 1 species